CCUCCUUAACGAAAGUACAUUCUCUUUCAAGUACUCACAACCUAUUGUUUGUUUCCCUAUGCGAGCGGCAUCAGUAGUCAGGGACUUAGUCGCAGGCCGAGUAGUAUGCGUUGGGAUCGUGUUGUACCCAGUGAGUCUUCUGUCUUCUGACGCCUGUCAGAUGCCUGCAUCUGCAGGUUCGCUCUUUAAAAAUAUGGAACAGUGAUAAAGUCUGUAGCUGAAUUAAAUUUGUGCCGUUGUGUAAGCAAUGGGCCGAAAAGCAUUCAGCAACAAAUCUGAAUUUGUGAUGAAUUCAAAGUUGAUAAAAAUCCGUAAAUGCGAUUGUGUUUUGGUGGUCA
rnacentral:misc_RNA from 1 species